CGAGCCCGGCGGGGUCGUGGGGGUCGUGGGGCAGCAUGGCGGCGUCCAGGAGGCAGGUGUUUGUUGAAAAAGUGCUGAGGAGACUUUUUCCUAAAGUUCCGCAUGGCCAAGAAAAGGGGGCACCAAUGACUCUGGCCUCGGAAAUACCCCCUGAGAAAGUGGCGCCUGAGACGGUGACAGGCUGGAGCGCCCCUCCUUUGACAGGACACGCCUCUCCCUCUGCCGCUGUUGCUCCGUCCCAUCACUGACCCAGUUCGUGCAUCCACCCAGCCGGGCUCCUGGUUCCUCCUCUGUGUUGGUCUCCCU
rnacentral:lncRNA from 1 species